CCUACGGGUGGCAGCAGUGGGGGAUAUUGCUCAAUGGGGGAAACCCUGAUGCAGCAACGCCGCGUGUGGGAAGAAGGUUUUCGGAUUGUAAACUCCUGUUCUUGGAGAAGAUAAUGACGGUAACCAAGGAGUAAGCACCGGCUAACUACGUGCCAGCAGCCGCGGUAAUACGUAGGGUGCAAGCGUUACUCGGAUUCACUGGGUGUAAAGGGUGCGUAGGCGGGAUAGCAAGUCAGACGUGAAAACCACAGGCUUAACCUUAGGACUGCGUUUGAAACUGUGAGUCUUGAGUGAAGUAGAGGUAGGUGGAAUUCCUGGUGUAGGGGUGAAAUGCGUAGAGAUCGAGAGGAAUACCAGUGGCGAAGGCGACCUACUGGACUUUAACUGACGCUGAGGCACGAAAGCAUGGGGAGCAAACAGGAUUAGAUACCCUAGUAGUC
rnacentral:rRNA from 1 species